rnacentral:rRNA from 1 species
AGUGAACGCUGGCGGUAGGCCUAACACAUGCAAGUCGAACGGCAGCACAGUAAGAGCUUGCUCUUACGGGUGGCGAGUGGCGGACGGGUGAGGAAUACAUCGGAAUCUACUUUUUCGUGGGGAUAACGUAGGGAAACUUACGCUAAUACCGCAUACGACCUACGGGUGAAAGCAGGGGAUCUUCGGACCUUGCGCGAUUGAAUUAGCCGAUGUCGGAUUAGCUAGUUGGCGGGGUAAAGGCCCUCCAAGGCGACGAUCCGUAGCUGGUCUGAGAGGAUGAUCAGCCACACUGGAACUGAGACACGGUCCAGACUCCUACGGGAGGCAGCAGUGGGGAAUAUUGGACAAUGGGCGCAAGCCUGAUCCAGCCAUACCGCGUGGGUGAAGAAGGCCUUCGGGUUGUAAAGCCCUUUUGUUGGGAAAGAAAAGCAGCAGGUUAAUACCCCGCUGUUCUGACGGUACCCAAAGAAUAAGCACCGGCUAACUUCGUG